rnacentral:rRNA from 1 species
UACGUUGGGUGCGAGCGUUAAUCGGAAUUACUGGGCGUAAAGCGUGCGCAGGCGGCUUUGCAAGACAGAUGAGAAAUCCCCGGGCUCAACCUGGGAACUGCAUUUGUGACUGCAAGGCUAGAGUACGGCAGAGGGGGAUGGAAUUCCGCGUGUAGCAGUGAAAUGCGUAGAUAUGCGGAGGAACACCAAUGGCGAAGGCAAUCCCCUGGGCCUGUACUGACGCUCAUGCACGAAAGCGUGGGGAGCAAACAGG